rnacentral:rRNA from 1 species
AUUGAACGCUGGCGGAAUGCUUUACACAUGCAAGUCGAACGGCAGCACGGACUUCGGUCUGGUGGCGAGUGGCGAACGGGUGAGUAAUGUAUCGGAACGUGCCCAGUCGUGGGGGAUAACGUAGUGAAAAUUACGCUAAUACCGCAUACGAUCUAUGGAUGAAAGCGGGGGAUCGCAAGACCUCGCGCGAUUGGAGCGGCCGAUAUCAGAUUAGGUAGUUGGUGGGGUAAAGGCCCACCAAGCCAACGAUCUGUAGCUGGUCUGAGAGGACGACAAGCAACACUGGAACUGAGACGCGGUCCAGACUCCUACGGGAGGCAGCAGUGGGGAAUUUUGGACAAUGGGCGAAAGCCUGCUCCAGCCAUUCCGCGUGCAGGAUGAAGGCCCUCGGGUUGUAAACUGCUUUUGUACAGAACGAAAAGGUUUCUACUAAUACUAGGAGCUCAUGACGGUACUGUAAGAAUAAGCACCGGCUAACUACGUGCCAGCCGCCGCCGUAA